rnacentral:rRNA from 1 species
GAUGAACGAUGGCGGCGUGCCUAAUACAUGCGAGUCGAGCGAACAGACGAGGAGCUUGCUCCUCUGACGUUAGCGGCGGACGGGUGAGUAACACGUGGAUAACCUACCUAUAAGACUGGGAUAACUUCGGGAAACCGGAGCUAAUACCGGAUAAUAUAUUGAACCGCAUGGUUCAAUAGUGAAAGACGGUUUUGCUGUCACUUAUAGAUGGAUCCGCGCCGCAUUAGCUAGUUGGUAAGGUAACGGCUUACCAAGGCAACGAUGCGUAGCCGACCUGAGAGGGUGAUCGGCCACACUGGAACUGAGACACGGUCCAGACUCCUACGGGAGGCAGCAGUAGGGAAUCUUCCGCAAUGGGCGAAAGCCUGACGGAGCAACGCCGCGUGAGUGAUGAAGGUCUUCGGAUCGUAAAACUCUGUUAUUAGGGAAGAACAAAUGUGUAAGUAACUAUGCACGUCUUGACGGUACCUAAUCAGAAAGCCACGGCUAACUACGUG